CGUGUAGGCGGCCUUUUAAGUCAGACGUGAAAUCCAUGGGCUUAACCCAUGAAUUGCGUUUGAAACUGGAGGGCUUGAGGAUCGGAGAGGGCAGUGGAAUUCCCAGUGUAGCGGUGAAAUGCGUAGAUAUUGGGAGGAACACCAGUGGCGAAGGCGACUGCCUGGACGACACCUGACGCUGAGGCGCGAAAGCUAGGGGAGCAAACGGGAUUAGAUACCCCGGUAGUCCUAGCCGUAAACGAUGGGUACUAGGUGUGGGAGGUAUCGACCCCUUCCGUGCCGCAGUUAACACAAUAAGUACCCGCCUGGGGAGUACGGCCGCAAGGUUGAA
rnacentral:rRNA from 1 species